ACAUUCUUUGGCACUGCCCUUCUUUAGGAUCAGAAUAAAAACUCACCUUUUCCAAUCCUGUGGCCAUCAGCAAAAGGUUUUGUAGCCUCAGCUCUGGGGGUUUAAUUCAGAGCUCUUUUGUCUUCUUCAAAAUGUUGCUACUGACCUGUUUGGGAUCCUAUAACAUCAUAUUUCUGUAAUUCUGUUUUACCCCAUAAAGUGAGGGGUAGGAUCAAGAUUUUAACUCAUUGAGUCUAUGGUGGGAGUAUUUCAAGUAGGAAAUGAAACCAGCGUGUCUUGCUGGAUGUAGAGAGUAGUUUGAGGCAUUAUUUGUUGGAAAGAAGCUCUGCCAGGAGAGGAGUUUCCAGGGACCUGGCCUCUGCCUCUGGCUACUCCAUGACCUCUCCCAUUCUAAGUAUGGCUGGGCCAGCCCUGAGCAUGUACUUGUGUAAUGAGAAGGUUCUCUUGCCAACUCUUUGGUUCCUCUGAAUCAAGAGAGACAGGAUAAGUGCUCAUUUCUUUUUUUCUUUCCCAGGUUUUAAAAUGAGUUAAUUUUCUAGUAUCAUCCAAAGACUUUUUAAUUUUUUUUUUUAGCGUUUAAAAAUUUUUAAAGGAUUGUUGUUAACUUAUGAAUUUAAACAUAUCUUAUAUGUUCUAAUCCAUCUUAACUAAAGAUGCUCAUGUUAUCCCAUCUUUUGCAAGAAAGAACACUUCAUGGUAGAUCUUGAAUCCUUUCUUUCUACAAGCCUUCAGUGGUUUUGGAGCACUUGCUUGAUAACUGAUAUGACAAGAUAUUCCAGCUCCAUCUUCAAUCUUCAAAUACAUCUGACAAUUUCUCACCACCUCUACGGCUACCACCAGCUUCCAGCGACCAUUAUCUUUUGCUUGGAUUAUUGCAGUAGCUUCCUAACUGGUCUCCAUGGCUGAUCUUCUAUCAUCGAUCAUCGCAAAGCAAUCAGAAUAAUGUAAGUCAAAUCAUUCCUCUGCUCAAAACCCUCCAAAGGAUUCCCAUCUCUCAGUAAAAUUCAGACGUUUUACCAUGGUCUGCCAGAACAUGGUGUACAUUUCCACCAUCUAUCUCACCACCUUCUCAUCUUGUUACCAAGGCCAAGGUCAUACUGCUUGCCUCAUGCCAGGCCAAUAGAUCGAGAGAGGGAUUGUUGGGGCAAGGAAUAGCGACUUUAUUUAGAAAGCCAGCAGACCGGGAAGGUGGUGGGCUAGUGUCCCGAAACCGUAUUACCUGAGUUAGAAUUUGGGGCUUCUGAAAGGAGAGGCAGGUGGCUGGUUGUUGCAUACUUCUUGAUGCAGGGAUCCUUUAUGACUGCCACUGUCCACAUAGGUGUGGCUACAGUGUUCCUGUAAACCUCCAAGAAGACAGGUGCUAUUUUAUGUUCUUCAACUUUUUAAAAGUCAGAGCCUUGAGACUGGACUAUUCUGUGUUUUUCAGGCUAUAGGCAACACUUGUUCACAAAGGCGCAGCGCCAGCGUGACUGUGCACAGGCAAAGAGCACAGGAGUUGGAGCUAAAGGAGUAGAUCCAAUGAGUCAGGGUUGUUUUUCUCUCUUAGACCGUCUCAUCUACCUCUGCCCCCUCACUUAUAUUGUUACAGCCACACUUGCUUUCUUUUUAUUCCUUGAUUAUAACAAUCCCAUCCCCACCUUUGGGCCUUUGGAUCUGCUGUUUCCUCAUUGAUGUGAGAAGGGUAAUGCUUUUGAGAAAUCAGUGUAUUGAGAAAGAGAACAAAGAACCGGGUAAAUAAAGCAGGCUCUCCCAUUUUCCCAUGCCUACGUACUUUCCCUCUGAGGUUCAGAGGCUUGAUCCUAUCUGAAAUGACCUCUUUACUAUCCUGUGCACCAACCCAGAUCUUCUCCACCCUGAAGAUUCAGCCCAGGCUUCCCCUACAUCCAUGUCCAUGCCAUCCCUGACCCUUGCCAUCCAAAGACCAUUUUACAAAAAUCAUCACAGACUACCAAAGGCAGUCUGGUUCUGGGUAAAUUCUCUUUUAAGGUGUGAGCUCUGGUCUAGACUUGAUGCUAAAUUCUUUGAAGAUGCUUCUCAACCUUGGUUGCAUACUGGAGUCACCCAGGAGCUUUCAGAAAUGUUUUAUCUGUGUCCCACCCCCGAGAUUCUGAUUUAAUGGGCCUGGGUGUGUGUCCAGGGCAUCAGAAUCUUUCCAACUUCCUCAGGUAAUUCUAUCGUGCCAACAUUUUAAGAACCAUCAGCUUUCCUGCAAGGACUCUCUCUCUGCAGGUAGUUUAAAUUAUUAUGGAUUCUUGAUUAGUUUAUAAAAUAAAGAAAAGGGAACAUGCUACUGCUUGUCAAAGGCUGCUGAAGCUUCAAGUCCGAAGUACACAGAUAUUAACAGGUUUGAUCUGUAGGGUCGUUAGAUUCUUGCUUUUCAAAAUGUGGUCCAUGGGUCAGUAGAACAUCAUUACCAGGAGCCUGUUAGAAGUGUGAAAACUCAAGCCCCGCCCCUCCUCCAAUCUUGAGAACUGUGUAACUUUCAGUACAAAUGAUUUUGUCCAGCCCCCACAUUAGGAGACCCGAACAAAACUAUGCUCCCUAGCAUAGUUUUUAGCACUCAAGGUUUCUUGGGGAGAUCCAGCCCCCUGAGUCCUUGCCUGGGGAAGCUCAAGGCUGUCAAAAGAAUUUACCCAUUGCUCCAGCCAAACAUCUGACCAUAGGCCUCUGACCUACAUUUUCUUUUUUUUUAGUUGAUGUAUACUUUAUUUUUUAAAACUUUUUAUUUAAUAUUGGAGUAUAGCUGAAUGACAACAUGGUGAUAUUUUCAGGUGGACAGCAAACGGACUCCAUUUUCUUCCUUUUGCUUUUUGUGACCUCCCUUUCCUUAGAGCAUUUACUUUAAAAAAAAAAGAAAAAAAAAACCCUCACAACUGUAAAUGCUCUCUGUCCCUUUAAGAUGUGUAUGUUAUCUCCUGAAACCCAGGAGUAUCUUCCUUAAGGACCUGGGGGCAUCCCUCUGAAAUGUCCUCAGCAAGACAGAUAGGGCUCCAUCUUCCAGUCUCUGUGGAAGGAUGGAAACCUAACCUGCUGAACGAGCCAGUUAGCAGAGACAGCCUGAUCACAGUGAUCAGUCCCCCCACCUGCCGUUUGUAAUUUUCCACCACUUUGACUUUGUUCAAAUCCCAGCUCAUCUCCCCUCCCACUCCUUCAUGUUCCCUUUAAAAUUCCAGUCACCUUUGUGCAUAGCCUGGCUGAAUUCAGUUCUGCACUGAAGCCUCUGCCCUAACUGUAGGGGUUACCAAGUAAACUCCAUCUACACUGCCUUUAACUAGUGUUUGGCUUUUCUCUAACCUUACUCAUUUAACAAGAUCUUUAGGUGAUUUGCAUGUAUAUGAAAGUUGGAGAAGUACCGUUUCGUAUUUAUCAUUCCCUCAAUGACUUGUAAUAAACAGCCCUCAAUGACAGAUAGGAAUUACUAUGCCCAUUCUGCGAUUGAGAGCCUAAGGUCAGAGCUUUGCUUAAAGUCACACGGUUAAACUAGAACUUGAGCUCACCUCAUAACUCAGUCCAGUGCUCAUUCCAUAAUGCCAUGCUGAUUGGGGAGAGAAGACACAACGCAUGCGAGGACCCAGGAGUGAAACAGCUGAUGAAGAAGAUCACAAUAAGGUUGGUUCCUCUCCAGGCAUCCAUUUCAGCGACAUCUUGCAAGGCUCUGCUUUUCUUCGGUUGUAUGAGAACUGUUUCAGAAUCAAGUGUCUCCUAGGCACCAAAGAAUUCUCAUCUGGAAAAUCCUAUCAUUACCUGGAGUCCCAGGGGUCACAGCUAAUAGGGGAUGAGUCACUGUGUUGACCCUCUACAAGUACUGAAGAGCGCUGCCUCCAAGCCCAGCACCUCAUGGGCUACUGCACACACCAUACAGCCACCACAUGAAGUCAGACCCAGUCCUGGUCUUAGUCCUGAACUAGCCAACCCUCCUCACUGUACGCUCAGUGCUGAUAUGCCUCCCUUCCCAGCUUUAUGUCCACCCUCCAUCUUCAUUUCUUGCUUUCCUGGAUAAACACUGACUCCCUUCUUCCUGGCAGGUUUGGCCCCUUAGGUAAAUUCAGUAGUUCCCCCUUAUCCAUGGUUUUGCUUUCCACCCUUUCAGCUGCCUGAAGUCAACUGCCCUCUGAAAAUAUUAAAUGGAAAAUUUCAGAAAAAAAAAUUCUGAAGUUUUAAAUUGGACACCGUUCUGAGUAGCAUGAUGAAAUCUUGCUCUGCCCCGCUGUCCUGCGUGGGAUGCACAAGCAUCCACAUCAUCUGCUUCUGGCAUCCAAACCCCACACUGUCAUGGCUCAGUGAUCCAGGAUCACCUGAAGCAGAUAGAUGAUCCUUCUUCUUACUUACUGUUGGGUCAGCAGUCGCCUGACCCUACAGUGCCUACGUCAUUCACCUCAUUUCAUCUCAGCACAUACCAUCUCAGCAUCACAAGGAGGAUAAGUAUAGCACAUUAAGAUACUUUGAGAGAGACCACAGUCAUGUAACUUUUAUCAGAGUAUAAUUUUCCUAUUUUAUUAUUGUUUUUAAUCUCUUGUCUAAUUUAUACUUUAUAAUAGGUAUGCAUGUAUAGGAAAAAACACGGUAUACAUAGGGUUCAGUGUCUUCCAUGUUUUCAGGCAGCCAGAGGGGUUCUUGGAACAUAUACAUGUAGAGGGGGACCACUGUACUCCUCUUCUCUGGACUCCCAUCGCUGCCUUCCUACUCCUGGGCUGGUCUGGUGCCCUGAGCAGACUCUCUAGGGCAGAGUCCCCUUCAGGCUUUUGUGGACAUCAUACUCACACGACAAAAUUUCAAACAUAACAAACUAAUGAGUUAAGUUACAUUUCAUCUUCUCUGUCCUUUUUUCCCUUCAGUUACCAAAUUAGGCCAAAAGACCAUCAAUAAGAAAGCAACUACCAAUUUUAAAUGCCAAGUCAUUUCUCUAGAAAAGACAGAAAAUCACUCACGUGAAUGACAGGAUGAACUUUUCUGGUCAUUUGGAAAUCUCCUAGAUCAUUAGAACGAGGGGAACUCCUUUACCAACCAUACCCCAUACACAUGCAGAGUACUGAUUUUUCACAUUCAGUGUCUUUGACACCAAUGAUUUAAUAAAUUCAGCCAUUAUUAUGGUAAAUAUUUUUAUUGUUAGUUUUAUCAGAAAUGUGUAUAUAUGGACAAUUUUUGAUGCUUAAUUUUAUUAGAACCAGAACCAUGCUUUCUAGAAGAUCGUUCCUUCUAGAAAAUCAAAUUUCCAAGAUUAGAAUGGAAGACAAUGAGAAAAUAGAUUUCACUUUAUUAUUUACCUUUGUGAUGUGUCAUCCAAAGCACAUUAAUUCUUUUAUGUAUUACUUUAACAUUAUAAAAUAAAUCAUUCAUUAUUACUGUGAAAACAUGAGCCCAAAACUUUGUAUCUUUAAUCAAGUCAAUCAUCAACUUUUCUAAGAUUUUUAAAGACAUGAAGAUAAAAAUCAUUUCAAAUAAUAGCACUCAAACGCCAUGUACAUUUGUGAUGAAGUGUAACAGUCAACUUUAAGCCUCAGAUUUUCCAGGUUUUAGCUGAAAUAAGCCUUAUUAGCUUCUUAGAUUUUUAUCAGUCUUGUUUGGGGGCUUAUUAGACCUUAUUUUGCCUUAUGAGACCUACACAGAGUACAAUAUUAAAAUAUGUUAAUGGUCUAUACU